UUUAGUCAUUUCUGUCUGCUCCUGCCUUUCAUCAGUAUUGACCACUGUGGUAGCAUGUUGUCCGAUUGUUGUUUCUUUUAUAUCCUCACUGGAUGCAUUUUGUGAGCUUGUAACAUCAUCUUCACCAUCUUGGACUUCUUCUGACAUUUUGAGGUCUUUUUCUUUUGCUUGAUUUUCCUCUUUGCUCACUGUUUCAUCCUCAUUCAAUUCAGAUUCAACCUUCUCUAAUCCUGUCACUUCAUGGACUUCCUUAACCAGGGAGCUUUCAGACUUUUCUGUUUGACCAUCAUCAUUGACUACAUCCUCCUUUUUUUCUAUGGUUUCGACACUAGAUUUGAUUUCUUCAGUGUCUUCCUCUAUACUUUCUCUAGUUUCAAAAAACUCAGGUUCUUUACCUUCUUCUUGGUAGUUCUUUUUUUGCAAGUCUUCUUCUAAUGCUGCAACCUGUGAGGUUGUUACAUUGUCCUCACCUUGACCUUCUGCCGACAUGUUGACCUGAUCCUUUUCUUGAUCUUCAUCUUUAAAAGUUUCUAUUGCUUUUAUCCCUUCUUCAGAUUCAACCUUUUCCGAACUAGUCUCAUCACAUACCUCUUUGACAGAGUGGAUAGGAGGCGUUUCCAUUUGAUCAUCAUCAUGCUCAAUAGGCUCUUUGUUUUUUUCUUCAGUUUCUGUUUUCUCUUCUUGAGAUUCCACUUGUGCUGAUGUGAAAACAUCAGUUGUGAUGGCAUGUGGCAACUCUCCUUGCUCCACUUUUUCUUUUGUUUUAACAUUUGUGCUUAUAAGUUCAUUAUCUUCCUCCAUGCUUUCUCUAGUUUCAAAAAAUACAUCCUCAGAGGCUGCAACUGUAUCCUGUGAGCAUAUAACUUCAUCCUCACUUUGGUCUUUUUCUGGUAUGUUGAGCUCUUGUUCCUUUUCUUGAUAUUCAUCUUUGCUUAAAAUUUCUAUUUCUUUCUCAUUCUGAUACAUAUCGGAAUUUAUCCCUUCUUCAGAUACAGUCUUCUUUAAGUCAGUCUCUUCACAUACUUCCUGUUGCUCCUUUUCAUCUGUUUCAACACUUGGUUUGAUUUCUUCAGUAUACAUCUCUUGCUCAAAAAUUAUGCUGGCACUUUCUUCUAUUUUAUCUUUUGCUCCAUUAUCAUCAUACUGCUCGCUUGCCUAUAUGAAGAGUGUAUUUUGAGUACAUGGGCAGAAUGGACAAUACAGAACUUGGUAAGUCUAAUGUAUAGUCAAAGUUUGUAAAACAAUCUGUGUAACAGCUUAGUUUAUUGGUCUCUUUUUCAAAAGAAAAUUAUGAGCAGCAUUUGCUCUAAAGUCUAAACUACUUUAUAAAACGGGUUUCCCUUAGAAUUUAUCAUUUUCAUAAAUAUCCACAACUUGCUUUUCUUCUAGUUCUAUACCCCUCCCCAAUUGUACUGUUCAAUUGAAUAAAUCAAGUUCUGUAUUUGAAGUUACACUUAAUAUGCUCUAUAAAAUAUGUAUUUUAUCUUGUUUAGGGCCCUUAAAAUGGUCUAAUAUAUAUAUAUNNNNNNNNNNNNNNNNNNNUAUAUAUAUAUAUAUAUAUAUAUAUAUUUGUAAGAGAUACUUGAACUACCGAGUUGAACAACUUAUGCAUUUGUUACUUUCUCAAACACAUGAGAUGAGAAAUUUUGUAGCAGACAACAUAAUGUCUUGAUAAUUUUAGCAUUGCAAGUUUAGUUGGAAUGAUGUACAAGUAAAACCUUUUGAAAUAAUUAGAGAUUACUUAAGAUGAACAUAAAUUACCUCUUGAGCAUGAAUUGAUUUGUCUUCUAUUUCUUCCUUGAGGAUCUCUUUGGUCAAUGCACUAUCAUCUUUGCUCUCCUCAAAAUCAACCACUGUGGUAACAUGUUGACCAAUUGUUGACUCUUGUAUAUCCUCACACGUUGCAUCUUCUGAACUUGUAACGGCAUCCCCACCACCUUGGACUUCUUCUGGCAUUUUGAGUUCAUGUUCCUUUUCUUGAUUUUCCUCUUUGCUCACUAUCUCAUUCUCAUUCAAUUCAGGUUUAGCCUUCUCUGAUCCUGUCACUUCACACACCUCCUUAACCAAUGGGCUUUCAAACUCAUCAUUGACUAUAGCAUCUUCCUCAAUCUUUUCUUCAUUUUCCAUAGUUUCUUUUUUAGGUUCUAUUUCUGUUGAGCUGCAAACAUCAGUAGUAAUGACAUGCAGCAACCCUUGUUGCUCCAUAUUUUCUUUUGUUUCUAUACUAGAUUCGAUUUCUUCAAUGUUUUCCUCUACACUUUCUCUCGUUUCAACAACUUCAGGUUCUUUACCUUCUUCUUGGUAGUUCUUUUCUUGCAAGUCUUCUUCUAAGGCUGCAACCUGUGAGCUUGUUACAUUAUCCUCGCCUUGACCUUCUGUUGACAUGUCAACCUGAUCCUUUUCUUGUUCUUCAUCCUUGAAAGUUUCAAUAGCUUUUACCUCUU
rnacentral:lncRNA from 1 species